rnacentral:rRNA from 1 species
UACGUAGGGUGCGAGCGUUGUCCGGAAUUAUUGGGCGUAAAGAGCUUGUAGGCGGUUUGUCGCGUCUGCCGUGAAAUUUCGAGGCUCAACCUCGAACUUGCGGUGGGUACGGGCAGACUAGAGUGUGGUAGGGGAGACUGGAAUUCCUGGUGUAGCGGUGAAAUGCGCAGAUAUCAGGAGGAACACCGAUGGCGAAGGCAGGUCUCUGGGCCACUACUGACGCUGAGGUGCGAAAGCGUGGGGAGCAAACAGG